ACGCUGGCGGCGUGCCUAAUACAUGCAAGUCGAACGAGAGCGACCGGUGCUUGCACUGGUCAAUCUAGUGGCGAACGGGUGAGUAACACGUGGGUAACCUGCCCAUCAGAGGGGGAUAACAUUCGGAAACGGAUGCUAAAACCGCAUAGGUCUUCGAACCGCAUGGUUUGAAGAGGAAAAGAGGCGCAAGCUUCUGCUGAUGGAUGGACCCGCGGUGCAUUAGCUAGUUGGUGAGGUAACGGCUCACCAAGGCCGUGAUGCAUAGCCGACCUGAGAGGGUGAUCGGCCACAUUGGGACUGAGACACGGCCCAAACUCCUACGGGAGGCAGCAGUAGGGAAUCUUCCGCAAUGGACGCAAGUCUGACGGAGCAACGCCGCGUGAGUGAAGAAGGUUUUCGGAUCGUAAAACUCUGUUGUUAGAGAAGAACAAGUGCUAGAGUAACUGUUAGCGCCUUGACGGUAUCUAACCAGAAAGCCACGGCUAACUACGUGCCAGCAGCCGCGGUAAUACGUAGGUGGCAAGCGUUGUCCGGAUUUAUUGGGCGUAAAGCGAGCGCAGGCGGUUCCUUAAGUCUGAUGUGAAAGCCCCCGGCUCAACCGGGGAGGGUCAUUGGAAACUGGGGAACUUGAGUGCAGAAGAGGAGAGUGGAAUUCCAUGUGUAGCGGUGAAAUGCGUAGAUAUAUGGAGGAACACCAGUGGCGAAGGCGACUCUCUGGUCUGUAACUGACGCCGAGGCUCGAAAGCGUGGGUAGCAAACAGGAUUAGAUACCCUGGUAGUCCACGCCGUAAACGAUGAGUGCUAAGUGUUGGAGGGUUUCCGCCCUUCAGUGCUGCAGUUAACGCAUUAAGCACUCCGCCUGGGGAGUACGACCGCAAGGUUGAAACUCAAAGGAAUUGACGGGGACCCG
rnacentral:rRNA from 1 species